CAGAAGUCAAACAGUUAAAGCAAAUUCUAGAUACAUGGUAGAGACUAGGAGAAAAUAUGAAUAAUUUUCUUCUAAACAAGGAGCUAAGUGGAUGAACCAUACCUCUAGAUUCCUUGCUUCCAUUUUCCCAGAAGUUUUGGUAGCAGGAUGAUGUUGGCCUCAUAAUGUGAGUUAGAGAGGAGUCCCUCUUUUUCGACUGUUUGGAAUUGUUUCAGAAGGAAUGCUACCAGCUCCUCUUGUACCACUGGUAGAAUUCAACUGUGAAUCUGUCUGGUCCUGGGCUUUUUUUGAUUGACAAGAUGAGGAAGAGAAAGAUCAGUGUGUGUCAACAAACUUGGGCCUUAUUAUGCAAGAACUUUCUUAAAAAAUGGAGAAUGAAAAGAGAGUCCUUAAUGGAAUGGCUGAAUUCAUUGCUCCUACUACUUUGUUUGUAUAUAUAUCCUCAUAGUCAUCAAGUAAAUGAUUUUUCUUCACUGCUUACCAUGGACCUGGGACGGGUAGAUACAUUUAAUGAAUCCAGAUUUUCUGUUGUAUACACACCUGUCACCAACACGACCCAACAGAUAAUGAAUAAAGUAGCCUCUAUUCCCUUCCUGGCAGGUAAAGAGGUCUUGGGACUGCCAGAUGAGGAAAGUAUUAAAGAAUUCACAGCAAAUUAUCCCGAAGAAAUAGUAAGAGUCACCUUUACUAAUACAUACUCGUAUCAUUUGAAGUUCUUGCUAGGACAUGGAAUGCCAGCAAAGAAGGAGCACAAGGACCAUACAGCUCAUUGUUAUGAAACAAAUGAAGAUGUUUACUGUGAAGUUUCAGUAUUCUGGAAGGAAGGUUUUGUGGCUCUUCAAGCUGCCAUUAAUGCUGCUAUUAUAGAAAUCACAACAAAUCACUCAGUGAUGGAGGAGCUGAUGUCAGUUACUGGAAAAAAUAUGAAGAUGCAUUCCUUCAUUGGUCAAUCAGGAGUUAUAACUGAUUUGUACCUUUUUUCCUGCCUUAUUUCAUUUUCCUCAUUCAUUUACUAUGCAUCUGUUAAUGUCACAAGAGAGAGGAAAAGGAUGAAGGGCUUGAUGACAAUGAUGGGUCUUCGGGAUUCAGCAUUCUGGUGAGUCAAACGCAGCACAAAUAAAUAAACGGAGGAACUCAGGAAAACUGGGAAUCUUCAAUGCAUCUUUUUUUUUUGAAAUGGAGUCUCGCUCUGUUGCCCAGGCUGGAGUGCAGUGGCGUGAUCUCAGCUCACUGCAAGCUCCGCCUCACAGGUUCACGCCAUUCUCCUGCCUCGGCCUCCCAAGUAGCUGGGACUACAGGCGCCGGCCACCAUGCCUGGAUAAUUUUUUGUAUUUUCUGUAGAGACGGGGUUUCACCGUGUUAGCCAGGAUGGUCUCGAUAUCCUGACCUCGUGAUCCACCCACCUCGGCCUCCCAAAGUGCUGGGAUUACAGGCGCGAGCCACCACGCCCGGCCUCUUCAAUGCGUCUUUAUUAAAACCUGUUUCUCCACAACCAAGGGGUACAAAUGAGAGAUACCUACACAGAAUAAUUUCAGAUCAUGAACAAAUUUCCACUUAGUUAAUUUCAGUGGGGAGAAAUGCUCUGCAGUGAUGGACAAAAAAAAA
rnacentral:sRNA from 1 species